AGGAUAAACGCUGGCGGCGUGCCUAACACAUGCAAGUCGAACGCGCUUUCGGGCUUCGGUGCGAGAGCGAGUGGCGGACGGGUGAGUAACACAUGGGUACCUACCUUGGAGUGAGGGAUACCGGCGAGAAAUCGCCGACAAUACCGCAUAGGCUUCUUCACAAGGGAAGCAAAGUGACGCGAGUCACGCUUUGAGAUGGGCCUGUGGCCGAUUAGCUAGUUGGGGGGGUAACGGCUUCCCAAGGCGACGAUCGGUAGCUGGUCUGAGAGGACGAUCAGCCACACUGGGAUUGAGAACGGCCCAGACUCCUACGGGGGGCAGCAGUGAGGAAUUUUCCGCAAUGGAGGCAACUCUGACGGAGCAACGCCGCGUGCAGGAGGAAGGUUUUCGGAUCGUAAACUGCUUUUCUCGGGGACGAGCAAGGACGGUACCCGAGGAAGAAGCCCGGCUAACUACGUGCCAGCAGCCGC
rnacentral:rRNA from 1 species